GUAAGGUAUGCACAUCACUUUUUAAAAAAGAUUGAUUCAUUCAAAAGGCAGUUAGAAGGAGAGACAGAGAAAUCUUCUAUUCACUGGUUCACUCCUCAGAUGGCUACAAUAGCCAGGUCUGGGCCAGGCAAAAGCCAGAAAUUCCAUGUGGGUCUCCUGCUUGGGUGGCAAGGGCUCAAGGGCUUGGGCCAUCUUCCACUGCUUUGCAUUCACAGGGAGCUGGAUCAGAGGUGGAGCAGCUGGGACAUGAACCGGCCCUUUAUAAAGGCUGCCAGCAUCACAGGUGUCGGUUUAAGCUGCUGAGCCCAUUUUUGCCAUUAUUCUCUAUGUGUCUCAUAGAGAAGUGGUAAUAAAUAACCCAUGAAACAAAUGAGAAAAUAAGAAACAAUGACCUUUAAAACAAUGUUGCUUAAAUUAGUUUGAUUAGUCACCAAUCUGUUAAGAGUCACAGAUAAGAAACAGUUGAAACCUUUUUCUUUAGUGUUAUCUCUACAAACAUUUCUUUUUUUUUUUUAAACAUGUCUUACUCCUGUAUAGCAAGUAAUUUCCCCCUGAUCUCUAGGCUGCUGCAAGUUUUGUUUUUCUGGAAGUUUCUAAUAAGUUGAACCGAGGCAUCAUGUCUCACCUGAGUCCCUCCGGCACCUUCUGUUCCUUUAUAACAGCAACAACAGAGAAGUAUCCAAAGUACUGACGGGUUCUAGAAUGCUGAGUUGUUCUAGAAGUGACUGCAUCAUAUUCAGAUCAGCUUAACUCACUGGUGAAUCAUUGGCCAACAGUUCUCCUCCCUUGAUAGGAUGCCAACAGUUGACAAUUAAAUUUCAAAGACUGACGCACAAUUGGGUAACACCUUGAAGGAGCCAGAGAAAAGCUGAGCACGUCUAUGGAUUCUAAAAUGUCCCUGGCCGCCUACUGUGUCAUCUGUUGCCGAAGAAUAGGCACGUCUGCUGCCUCUCCGCAGAGUCUCACGCGCUGGAGAGAGAUCCGAAAUAUUAUAAAGUUUACUGGAUCACUUAUUUUAGGAGGUUCUUUGUUUCUUACAUACGAAGUUCUGGCCUUGAAGAAGUCUUUGACGUUAGACACACAAGUGGUAGAGAGAGAAAAGAUGAAGUCGUAUAUAUAUGUGCACGGAGUCUCUUUAGAUAAAAGAGAAAACCAUGGGUUUGCCUAUGAGGCAAGAAAAGAACUCCAUAAAGCAGUGAGGAAAGUCCUGGCAGCGUCAGCCAAGAUAUUCCGGAGCCCAUUUGCUGACCCUUUCAGCACGGUUGAUGUGGAAGAUCACGAGUGUGCCGUGUGGCUACUCCUGAGGAAGAGCCGGUCGGGCGACAGAACCGCGAGACUGGAGGCCGUGCAGGAGAUGUCGGGGGCCCACCACUGGCAAGAUUACCAGUAUAGGAUCAUUGCGCAGGCCUGUGAUCCAAGAACUCUUAUUGGUUUGGCACGAAGCAAAGAGAGUGAUCUUCGCUUUUUUCUCCCACCACCUCCCUUACCAUCUUUAAAAGAAGAUUCUUCCAUUGAAGAAGAACUCAGGCAGUUGUUGGCUUCUCUUCCUCAGACGGAUCUAGAUGAGUGCAUCCAGUAUUUUACAGCCUUGGCUCUGAACGAGAGCAGUCAGAGUCUAGCAGCUCAGAAGGGUGGCUUAUGGUGUUUUGGAGGAAAUGGACUUCCUUAUGCUGAAAGUUUUGGAGAAGUUCCUUCAGCUACAGUGGAAAUGUUCUGUUUGGAAGCUAUGGUAAAACAUUCUGAGAUCUCAACACAUUGUGAUAAAAUCGAAGCAAACGGAGGCUUGCAGCUGCUGCAGAGGCUCUACCGGCUUCACAAGGACUGCCCCAAAGUGCAGAGGAACAUUCUGCGAGUCGUCGGGAACAUGGCUCUGAACGAGCACCUGCAUGCCGCCAUCGUCCGCUCAGGCUGGGUCUCCUUAAUGGCGGAAGCACUGAAGUCUCACCACAUAAUGGAGGCCUCUCACGCUGCCAGGACCCUGGCCAACCUGGACCGGGAAACCGUGCAGGAGAAGUACCAGGACGGCGUGUACGUGCUGCACCCCCAGUGUCGCACCAGUCAGCCCAUUAAAGCCGAUGUCCUUUUUAUUCAUGGCCUUAUGGGAGCAGCAUUCAAAACCUGGCGGCAGCAGGACAGUGAGCGAGCCGUCUCGGAAGAGGCUUUGGAGGAUGAGGACAGGUACACAACAUGCUGGCCCAAGGAAGUCCAUUGCGUUCAGAAGCACCGAACUUCUCAGGAAGCUCAGAGCUGCUGGUGUUGGAGAUCGGCCAGUGAUCUGGGUAUCACACAGCAUGGGAGGUCUUCUUGUCAAAAAGAUGCUGGUGGAAGCGUCCAAGAAGCCAGAAAUGAGUACAGUCAUAAACAACACGAGGGGCAUGAUUUUCUACAGUGUCCCCCACCACGGCUCACACUUGGCCGAGUACUCUGUGAACGUUCGCUACCUUCUCUUUCCCUCUCUGGAAGUCAAAGAACUCAGCAAGGAUUCACCUGCACUUAAAACACUACAGGACGACUUUCUGGAGUUUGCUAAAGACAAAAACUUCCAGGUGCUGAAUUUCGUGGAAACCCUGCCGACGUACAUCGGCAGCAUGAUCAAGCUGCACAUCGUGCCCGUGGAGUCAGCAGACUUAGGCAUUGGAGACGUGAUUCCCGUGGACGUUAACCACCUGAACAUCUGUAAGCCGAAGAGAAAGGACGCUUUUUUGUACCAACGCACUUUACAGUUCAUCCGUGAAACUUUAGCCAAAGACCUUGAAAACUGAGAGCUGCCCUCGGCCGUCUUUAAUAUGGGAAUACAGUGCCAGAACCCUGGUGUUGUCUUUGUCUGUAAGCUCUCAGCAGGCACGCGGUCAGCGUGGCAUCUGUGUGGUGUGGAGAGUGUGGCAGACAACGGGGCAUCGGUCUCCGCAGCGCGGUCUAGCAUCAGUGCCGAAGAGGCACUCGGAAGGCGGGCCCCGGUCGGGCUCUUGUGACUUAAAGUCUACCAGGUGCCCCUGCAUGGUUGGCAGUGCUGGGCCCGGUGACUGGGAGCGCGAGUGCUGUGGGCAGAGGCCCUUUGCCACCUGUGACUGUCCCAGCUCAUCUGGUGGGAACACUGGCGGGUUCUGGAGGGAGCAGCACUGGCGGCUGAACUUGAAGCACGCCACUGGAGAGCACCUGCACUGGAGACGGAACUAGAACGUAGAAGACGGCCAUGUGCCGGGUUCCCGCAUGCUGUAAGGUUUGAAACGUUUGUCCUUAGCUUUCAGGUAAACCCUUGCCUGAGACGUCCUGGUUGAGAGGCUGCUGUCACGCAGGGCCAGCUCCUGGUAUGUUUGUGUUUUCACGAUGCUGAGAGCAAGCCUGUGAAACGCCAUUCUAGCUUACAGUGAUUCUUCCCGGAGUGCGGCUCCUCUGCUUGUCCCGGGCAAGGACGGCGUAGCUCAUCCACUGCUCACGGGGUGGAGGAAACCAUCCCCAGCCCCGGGCUGCAGCAGCAGCACUCAGGAUCAGGAUCCUCUGCCUAAGGGCUGUCUUGCUUGCUUGCUUGGUUAUGUGGAAAUGGUAUUAAUUGACCUCCAGCGUGUGAAAACCAGGACAUCAUGUUGAUGGACUUUUUCUUUGACUAGCAUUGCUGAGAUAUAAUGACAUAGCAUAAAACUUACCCUUAUAAAAAUGCAAAGAUUUGUGGUAUCUUCACAGAGCUGUGCAACUAUUACCACUAAGUCCACAAAGUUUCAUCACCCCCAGAAAGCCCUGUAUCCGUGCACCGUCAUUUCCCACCUCCUCUUUCCCCAGGCAUUAGCAAACACUAACUUUCUCUGUGGAGUUGCCUCUUCUGGAAAUUUGAUAUCAAAGGAAUCAAAUCAUGUAUUUCUUGCCUUGUCUGCUUGCCUUUCUCUUAGCAUAAUGUUUCAUACACAUAUAGCUUCUGUCAGGACUUCACUUAUUAUGGCUAAAAAUAGUUCAUUGUAUGGUUCACCACAGUUGUUUAUCCAUGUAUCAGUUGAGGGACAUCUAGAUUCUUACUUUUUUGGCUGUUAUAAUAAUACUGUACAAUUAUUCCUGUACAGGUUUUUUUGGUAAACAGAUGUUUUUAACUCUCCCAGGUGGAUACUAGGAUUGGAGCUGCUGGACAAUAGUAAGUCUGAGCUUAUUAACCUUUCGCAGCUUGUAUAGAAGGGAUGGUCAGAGCCAAAACUGGGGUCCUCCCUGUGACUUAAUGAGCGCCUGACCGACUCGUCUUGUUAUGUAAAUGCAGCCAAUAUGACUACACCUGGCAUCAGUCCAGGGUCAGCUACUGGGAUGACAACGGGAGGAGGGAUAGCAGGGUUUGGUGCAUUUUCUUAUUCUGUUUUUGAAUAACCGUUGCAGAUAAGCCAUAGUCAGAACAAUUAUUCCUUAACUUACAAGAAUGGAUUGAAACCUCCUUAAUUAAAAUCUCAGUAUCUAUUAGCUGUGCUUUAGCAGUAAGAUCUGGGAGAGAGAUCGAAUCACUGUGCUUUCCAGGAAACCACUUUGCAUUUCUUUUUAUUCUGUGGAUUGGAGAGGCCCCCCUCUGGUUGCCAGGCUGAUGGGUCUAAAUAAAGUUUAUUACACACAAGUGAGGUGAAAAGAAAUGGCAGGGCCCUUAAGCAGCAGGAAAGCAAAGCAAGUGUACAGUGAGGGAUAAUGGGAACAUAAUCCCUGAACAACUACAACAAAAGAGAGACGGAAAGGAACUGAAACCAAACUGGCACAUUGCAGACACAGCACCUGAGGAACAGAGAUGGGUGAAACCCCGUGAGUCGCAGGGUGGCUUGCUGGGUGCAGAACCGCAGUGCCUGACAGAGGGAGAGACGGUGGUUAUCUGGAAGAUACUGGGCCAGAGCUUGUCAUUCAGCUGUAAAGACUUCUCAACAUGCAUUCAGGGAACAGGGCUAAGGUUUUCUCACAGAUUGACUUGUUGGUUAAAUCCAGGCACAGACAAAAAAAUUCAUUAGCCAGAAUAGAAAUAGUGCUACACUUUAAAAUGCAAACAGAAACCCUAAACACUGUUAGGAAACAGUAAUGUUGGAAAGAGCUAAUUGUGCUCAGCCGAAUUGCUCUUGAAAUGGGCUCCAAGGAAAUAAAGCAACAUGCUGACGCCUGUGAGACCGUAAUCUA